ensembl:snoRNA
CCUGCCCCUAGAGACAUUGCAGGUGUGGCAACCUGUCACAUGUGGGUCAGCAGGUGGCAGAGAGGAGAGAGGCCAUGUCUACACUCAAUGUUCUGAUGUUAUGAACAUCUGAAUGAUCAGUAGCAUAACAUU